UCUUUAUUAUUUAAAAUUUUUUAAGAUUUAAGUAUAUAUUUUUUAAAAUAUUUUAAUAAUUUUAUUGGGGUGAUAGUGAAAUUUAAAAAACUUUUAUUUUUUUAAAUUAUAUAUAAAUAAUUUAAUGAUCCAUUAAUAAUGAUUAAAAAAUUAAGU
rnacentral:rRNA from 1 species